UGUACAGCAGAAAUUAGCAGGAUAUUGUAAAGCAACUAUACUUCACUAAGAAGAAAUAAAGAACAAUUAAGACCAGGGCACCUCAAACAGGACUGUCCAUGGGACACGGGUCUCAUUUCACACUACACCCCAACACUCCUCCAAAGGCUCGGCAUCAGUAAUUCCUCUAUUCACUUACAAGUAUGUGUUUCUUAGAGUAAUACCAAUAUGAUAUUGAAUUUACUUGCUGACAGAUGGCUGAAUCACUGUAGUUAAAGCAUUGCAUGUAAGACUGCCAACACCAGGUAGAAAGUUCUGCUGAUGCUAGAUGCAGAGUUUCACCUCUAUAUUAUACUUUUUCUUAGCUGUUCAGUAGAAUAAUUUAUUUUCAGAAUCAUGCUGACACAUUCUGACAUUUGAGUGGUUUGAUUUUAUUUGAUGUAUUACCUUUUUAAAAAUAGGAUACAUGUCAAACGUCUCUAUGGAGUUAAUAUUUCACACACUGGAAUUCAAUGACUUAGUGAUGGACUUUUCAUAGUAGUAAAAUAAUUAUGCUGUUUCUGGAAAUGUCAAAUUGCAUUUAAUUUUUUCUAUAUUUUCUGCAUUUGAUAAAGCUCUUAUUGAGAAGAAAAGAGAAACCUGUAGAUGUAAGACUUGGGUUUGAAACCAACAUGGAGCCUCCCUCUUGUGUCUGCCGUAAGUGUGCAAGGUGGGACAGGCGUGUUUGUGGCAGUGUCGUGUAAAAUGAAGCCUUCCACUAUUGUUGUUGCUAUUAUCAUUUUAAGCAUAUUUGAGGGCAAAGCUGGGAAGGAGCCUUACAAGGUAGGAAGUCUUUGUAUGAGACCUGGUAGAACAAAUAUUUGAAAAUUAAAAUCGGAAACAAAGUUGGAGUAGGUGAAGCCUGUCCCCUCAUUGAGAUGCUGUGGGGUAGAUCUGCACACUGGACAAAUGUGCAUAUUGCAACCCAGGGCCACAGACUCAGUGAAUCAUUGCACACACUUACAGUAUUUGAGCUUUCUCAACAUUCUCACUUAGCACGUACUGUUGGUUCUUCUAUGACUGGAGAAACUCAUAGAGCAGCCCAUGGGAUAGCCUUUCUUUGGGGGGGAGGGGUGUAAGGGCAUGAAUCAGAGGUUGUCACUGUCAUGAAAACUUGUACACCAUACAAAGCAAAUAUUCAAUAACAGUAAAAGAAAAUGCAACAAAGAAUAAAGAAAUAAUGUGCAACAUUUAAUGCAGUGCAAAAUACUUUAGAGUUUCUCUGUGGUUACUCUGCAAGGCAACAAAAACAAUGGGCUGCUCUCUUUUUCCUCAUCAACCACCUCAUCCGCGGGUAUCAGAGAACAGGGCCCCAGUCAUGUGCUUUUGAUCACAAUAGGGAUAUUAGUUGAAACAGCUGACACAGGAAGGUGACUUAAUGCACAACCUUGACAUAGAGCAAGGAAUCAAAAUGGAAUUCUUGUAGAAUUGAUAAAAUGGAAUUUUUGUAGAAUUAUUUUGAUACAUUAAUUUGGAAAUACAUAUGAUCCACCUAAGGAGGGUAAAGCAAGGAAGGUUUAAAAAUGUUCAUCUUUUAAACAUGAAUUCCAAACUAUUUUUAUUUGACAUGUGGAAUUGUUAAACAGGUAAUAGUAUUCUGGUCAUACACAUUUCUUAAAUAAGUGUUCUCUGUAUUUGAUCAAAAUGUGCAUGGUAACAGACUGUAGUUUAGCCUUUGUUCAAAGACGUGCAAGUCUUUAGUAUUUACACUAAAUGGACCGCCUCAGAAGAGUGAAUACAUUCCCUUAAAAACAAAACAGAAAAAAAAAAUAUCUUUAAGGUGAACUAUAGUAUCUUUAUCUCCUCAUGUUUUAGAUAGGAUUAAUAUUCUUGAACCUCCAUUGGUUUCCAUACUCUCAUGCAAAUUUCUGGCUUGCUUUAACACAGCAGUCCAAUUUCUGUUGGCUAUAUGACAGGGCAUACACAUAUUAAUUGCUCUUUUUGAAAAUAUCACCAAGCAGUUCAGAAUACCUUAUUUAUUGGUAAUAUCGUGAAAAUCAAGGACCUUAAUACCAGCCAAAGAUAACAGUGUGGGAUAGGGCAGAACUGAAUGAUGAAAUGUAUGAGAUUGUCGUUUUCACUCCAUCUUGAACCAUUUGAAAAUGUUUUCUACUUAAGCUAUGUAUUUUAGAUAAGCACAGUUAGAUAUAGAUUUCACUAAUGAAGAAAUAAACACUUUUUUUAGCUCAGAAUUCCUUAGGACUAAAUGUUAAUUGAUAUGCAUUUUAUACAUAAUAUGUACAGGCUUUGUAACCAAGGGUCACACAACUAGGGCACAUGUUAGCUACCUUGGUUUUCAAAGGUUAUGUGUCAACUCUGCAUAUUAUGUGCCAAGGAGAUACUAUCGUUAUUUUUUGCAUAAUGUGCAAGUAUUAUAAUGGCCACAGAGUGUAAUACAAAUUAGUGGCAAAGUGCUGAGGGAAGGAGUCCAUGACAGAUUCAGACGCACAAGGUUGAAUAUUACCCGUAAACUACCUGACUCUGCUGGGGCCUUAGCAGCACGGAGCGCUACGUCAUGCCCAGCUUUUAAAAGCUUCUGAAAUAGUUGGACACAAGGAAGCUUGUUCGAGGAGUUCUACCAUAGCCUCUGGCAACACCGGGACUGGUAGGAGGGAUAAAUGACACCCGGGAAGCAACAUGGAAGGUUCCUCAAACCUCUUGCAAAAUGUACCAUCUUCCCGAAGAACAAUUUUGCUCACUCCAUCAUGGCCAACAUUGUUUAUUGAUAUGUGCUUUUUUUGGUUUAAAAUAUAUUAGCAAGAUGAUGCUGCAUGAGUUAAAAGAGUCUGAGAAUUUUAUUGUCACGUUGAUUUCUUAUACACACUCUUCAAUUUACUGAAAAUGUAUUUUCAAAGAAGUUAGGAGGUUAGUGGGAAAGAAAAAAAUCUUAUUUGCAACCCAAAUUCCCCUUAAAAAGGUAUUACAUCUUUGACUUCUUAUAUUAGGUGUUGUUCUUAUGUUAAAAAAAACAAAAAACAAAAACAACACUACCCUCUGCUCUAGCUUGUCCCUUUAAAGUCAGAGAAGAUAGGUUGUUUUUCAUUAAAUUUCAUAGCAUAUUUAAUUACCCUAUUUAUUAUUUUUAAUACAUGAAAUCUGGUUUCUAUUUGAACUCAAAAUUAUUUUGCUAAAAUGAUUUUCUGACCCCUAGUAAUAAGUUAGAAUGUUUAAAGGUGUUUUCUCAUUUAAUACAAAGAAGUGGUAACUUUUUCAACACAAUUUUAAGUUUACAGCAAACCAGCUGCCUCUGAAGUAGUUCAGCUAUGCGUCAAAAGUAGAUAGUAACUCUGAAAACUGAAUUGGGAGUUUUCUAUUAUCCCAUUUUAGUUUCUUAAGUUCGGCAUCGGGGGAGUCCAGUUGCCCUCGGAGGAGUUCAUCAGGGUGCAGGGAAAAGAGGCAGGAAGAGAGUGGGUGAUUUCAGAACCAAAGGAACCCAAACACCCCCUAACAGGUACGUACGAAAUCUUAAAAAAGCAGCAAAAUAUAAAGUGAAUGCGAACAAAAAUAACCAAAACUGCAACACUGGCCCUAUCCUUUACAUGAACAUUAGCGCACCCCACUUCAUAUCCUGGCGUUUACUGAGUUCUACGUUGCAAGAAUUUUGAAGUGCAUGUUUAAAUUCCAGGUUGGUGAAUUCUUAACUUCUUCAUGGAGUUCUUAUAGUUAUGACAUACACAACCAAAUGAGCUCAGUUAUUAACUUGUAUUCCAUUUACAACUUAAGAAAAAAUACAGUGCUUACUAAGGAGUUCUUGUACAGAAGGUCCAUUUCCCCGACUUAUGUUACUUUUAAUGGCCUUUAGAAAUGUAUAUACACCAGCUUUAAAAAAGUGUUGCCAUGACGAGUGUAUUGUGAAGUAAAUGCAGGUCAAUCUAUUCUAAGUGCGUAUCUGCUAGAGACUAAAUUAUGUCUUUGUUGGUGAGUCUUGACCAUCCUCCUAAUCAAGUAAAACGUCAACCAAAAACAGGUUAUCAUCUUCACUGUUUAACUUAAAAAAUGAGCAUAUGUUCGAGAUUUAAAUUUACAGUGUUUCAAGUGACUUUUAAAUUGCUCUUUUUCAGAUCUGUAAAAUGUCAAGAAAGUUUUAACAUGCAUCUUACUGAGAGGGCCAUCUUGGACUCUGUGUGUGACUUCACAUAAGCAGACAAACCCUACCAUGUCAUACCAUACAAACAAUUUUAAUCGUGUAGUUACAGUCAAUAACCACUCCUAAUCAGAACAUUUCUGCAUAAAGAAAAUUGUGAUACACUUAUAAAAACAGCCAGCUGUAACAAAAUAGCUGGUGUUUUCAUAGCCAUAAACUCAUAAAAAAGAAAUAACACCUUUAUACAGAAAUUUUAUACAGAUGUAGCUUUAAAAUUGAUUGUAAACCAAAGGAAGACACGUUGCAAACAUCAAUUAUUUUCACAUUAAUUGCAUAAUUUUCUAAGGUGAUCUAUUAGUUUUAUUAACCUAAGCUUAUUUGCAUGAUAGUAAAAAUUGCAUACAACAAUAAGAGUGAAGCUUAUAGUAUGAAUUGCUUGGAUAACAUAGAGCACUUUUUAUAGGCAACUGUGUAAAGCAUAUUUUAUCUAUUUAAAACUUUUAAGACACUUUGUUUUACUGCCCAUCAAAAUACAUUUAUAAAUAGAAAAGAACCAGUAUGGUAACAAGAGAAGCAAUAUUACAUUUAACGGAAACUUCCAAAAAUUAAUUACAACAUGAUGCU
ensembl:lncRNA